GAAGGCCUACGGGGCGCAGCAGUGGGGAAUAUUGCACAAUGGGGGAAACCCUGAUGCAGCAACGCCGCGUGAGUGAAGAAGUAUUUCGGUAUGUAAAGCUCUAUCAGCAGGAAAGAAAAUGACAGUACCUGACUAAGAAGCCCCGGCUAACUACGUGCCAGCAGCCGCGGUAAUACGGAGGAUGCGAGCGUUAUCCGGAUUUAUUGGGUUUAAAGGGUGCGUAGGCGGAAUGCCAAGUCAGCGGUAAAAUCGCGGGGCUCAACCUCGCUCCGCCGUUGAAACUGGCGUUCUUGAGUGGGCGAGAA
rnacentral:rRNA from 1 species